UCCCUGGUGGCUCAGUGGUAGAGAAUCCAUCUGCCAAUGCAGGAGCCUCAGGUUCAAUCCCUGAUUGGGGAG
rnacentral:tRNA from 1 species